UACAUAGAGUUUCUGGUUUACACCUGAUAUACUCAGCAGAUCGGCACAGACAGACAAGUUUCAGCUAUCGGUGGUAUCACAGACAGUAUGUCGUACAAUAUACUAAGUAUUUUUACGUUGAUCUACAUGGGCCAAAAUGUUACCAAGCACCAUGAAUACAUUAUUGGUUUACUUCAUAUAAUUUUUUGCGAUGAGUAUAUACCCUGGUUACGUAAGCAUGAUUAGUUGUUUAAGUUCACAAAGUGGUUGGUAUUUGUUUCCUAUUUUAGUACAAGAAAAAUCUUCUGACUAAUUCUUCUGUACAAUCUUGCAUGUUGUGUAUUACAUGUCAAGAAUAUAUAAUGUCAAUGCUAUACUAUGCUUUCGGGACAUCAUAUUUCUUUGUAUGCCAUGCUCAAAGGCAUGUAUUAUUUCUCUGACUUGGUUUCUAACAUGUGGGAGUAAAGUCAAGCUAGAUAUACCUGUGUCGACGAGGUGACAGGUUAUCACUUGGUUUAAUGCAAAUAUAUUUUCUCCUUUCCCCCUACUAUAAUUGACUCAAAAAAUGCAUUCAGGCUGCCGUUGCUAAACUGAGACACCUCAUGCAAAUUAUCUUUUUUACCUAAGAUUCUGAGGUAUAUGAUUUACUUUUCUUCCCUAAAUUAUCUUGAGACCAACUUAAGUACAGGGAAUGAUUGUUCAAGAGGUGCUUACCCAUCUGUAGACGUUGCUCCUUACACGCGCGUGUUUUCAGAUAGGUCCAAGGUCGUAUUCAGGAGCUUAACUAAAAAAAUCUGCAGCUCACGGUAAUGGUUAGUCCAUUCAAAAGUUAUAUGCUGGAGCUGAAGAGCUAAAGUCGCUUAAUGCACUCUGUUUAAAUAGAAGGGGUAUAUGGCCAAUGCUUAGCUCUCUGUCAGUUUUCAAGCGACAGAAAAGGCAUAUACCUGAGAACCACUCCUUCCAGCUAUUUGUUCUAUAUUGUGUUAUCAUGUGUACACUGCACGAGUAUAUAAUUUUUUUCCUGUACC